GUGUCAAACUGUGCCCCGUGGGCUGCACGCAGCUCAGGACGGCUGUGAAUGUGAUGCAACACAAAAUCGUAAAUUUACUUAAAACAUGAUGAGAUUUUUUUUUUUUGUCGUUACACGUUGCAAGGUAUUUAAUGUGUGGCCCAAGACAACUCUUCUUCUUCCGGUGUGGCCCAGAGAUGCCAAAAGGUUGGGCAGCCCUGCUCUACUGGGAAGAGAAACUCUCAGAUUGUUAAAAUCUCCCCACCCCUACCCUUGUGCAGGAACAUGAAUAUUUUGAAUUGUCCUGUGUCUUUCUAUGGCACAUGCC